UACGGGGGGGGGCAAGCGUUGUUCGGAAUUACUGGGCGUAAAGGGCUCGUAGGUGGCCAACUAAGUCAGACGUGAAAUCCCUCGGCUUAACCGGGGAACUGCGUCUGAUACUGGAUGGCUUGAGUUCGGGAGAGGGAUGCGGAAUUCCAGGUGUAGCGGUGAAAUGCGUAGAUAUCGAGAGGAACACCUGCGGCGAAGGCGGGUUGCUGGGCCGACACUGACGCUGAUGCGCGAAAGCCAGGGGAGCGAACGGG
rnacentral:rRNA from 1 species